GAAGUCGCUCUCAGCAGAUGGCGGAGCCAGAAAGGAGACGGUUUCCCCCUGGAGUCGGGCCGCUUCGCAGCCGGGCUCUCCUCUGACUGCCCUGGCCAAACUCCACGUUCUGCCGGAGUUUAGGAGGGUUUAAUGAGACUACUUCCACGGUUCAGUGAGGUUGUCCAGGACCCAGGCACUUUCCAGGUGUAGGCUCUGCCACAGUGUUCUUCCAAUGAUGAUAUUCCAGAUGAAGGAGGGCCUUAUUGGUAAGUCUCAUUUCCCAAGGAAUCAAGACGUCUGGAAUCCAGGAUACCAGAAGAGAUAACAGUUUUGCAAAAAAGGAAAGGUCCUCAUCAAUGAAGAUCCAAAGAAAGAAGGCCCAUGUGUGGGAUAUAGAUGUUUUAAGUAGGUAGGUGUUAUAAAAAAGAGCUAGGAUGGCCUUUGUGUGUUGAUCUCAAAGUUGUUUAUUUCUUCACAGCAAGCUCAGACCUGUUAGCUCAAAAGCCUGCUCAUGCCAAACUCAGAUUUUUAUACAUCC
rnacentral:lncRNA from 1 species